CUAUAUACAAAAGUUUGCCAAUUAAAACAAGAACUGAAUACAUCAAAGUAACGUGUGUGUGUGUGUGUGUGUGUGUUUGCAAUGAUGGCCUCAAGGCGUACGCAAAAGCACACACACACACACACACACACACACACACACACACACACACACACACACACACACACACGGAAGUAAGGCGUUUGCAAGUUUGUUAGUCAGUCAAUCAGUCAGUCAGUCAUCCAGUCAGUCAGUCAGUCAGUUAGCCAGUCAGUCAGUCAGUCAGUCAUCCAGUCAGUCAGUCAGUCAGUCAGUCAGUCAGUCAGUUAUCCAGUAAACCAGUCAUUCAUUUAGUCAGUCAGUCAGCCAGUCAUCCAGUCAGUCAUCCAGCCAGUCAGUCAGUCAGUCAGCAUGAGCCCAACACAACACAUUCAUACCUUUGAUCCCUCUAUCCCAUCCUCAGCCUCCCUAACACUACCUAUUUCUCUUAGGGCUUCACCUCCUCGUGCAGUGCCCCGAGAGCCAUCACCAAGACCUCCAGCGACUCCGCCACGAUUACUGCGUCAUCGUCAAAAACAAGGUCGAUGAGCCUGGUAUUGCCAAUGGAUGCUCCACAAUGACUGGUCCACAACUCUGCCUAGUACCCAGUCCUUACAAGAUAUAUUAAUGAAGAAAAUGAUAUAUUAUUGAAAAACAAGGCAAGAAAGGAUGUUAAAAGUGGUGUGCCUCCUACCUAGACUUCUGCUAAUAUUAUGACUGCUACUACUACUACCACUACUACUACUACUACUACUACUACUACUACUACUACUACUACUACUGCUACGCCCAUUUCUACCCAUUUCCCUAUUUCUAAUCCAACCUAACAGCAUACCACGACACACACACACACACACACACACACACACACAUCUUAUUACCAAGCAAAAAUUUCACCCUUACCGAGUUUCCCUAAAGAUCACAAACCAGACGAAAAAAAUAAAAAAAAAAAGCAAAUGAACCAGAAAACUUUUGGAAUGACGUCAUGAAAUUAGGCCUAAAACUCGGCUUCUGAUUGGACGAAACUUUUUUUUAUUUAUUUUUGCAUCCUCGUCAUUUCUUUAGCGUCAACUUUUUUUUUUCUUCAUUCAGUCAAGUUCCUCGAGAUUUGGCUUCGUUGCGGAGGAGAGAUAUUAACAAGAAAAAAAAAAAAAAGAUAUAGGGGGGUAUGACUGAUUCGGUUUCAUGCAUUCAUUUCUACUUAUUUUCAUAUUUUGCAAACUCUUUACAAUAAAAAAAAACAUCUCUGUGAAUACUUCCCUAAUGGUCUGAAUACUGGAAGGUGAGUGAAUACCUGAGUGAUUACCUGACCGAGAACCUGGAUACCUGAGGCUUGAAUAUCGGCAGGUGAGGGAGAGGGGGAAUACCUGGGCGAGGGGAGUUACCUGGCUGUCUACGCUAAUGACUACCUUGCUACCUGGUUCUCUGGGUGUCUGGUUAGGCGAACGUUAAAUAUAUAUGGUGAUAAUCCUUUUUGAUAUUUGGGUUGGAAAGUUUUAAUGUUAACACCAAGCAGACAAAAAGUUUAAAUACGACAGAAAAAAAAAAUAUACCAUGUAUUGAUAAUUUUCCUUCACCUUGGUUAGUGUGUCUUAAUGAGAAACCAAAGACAAGAAAAUUUAAAUGCAUAUUCCUGAUCUUCUUUUACCUGUGUCAGAAUAACUUCAUGAGGAAACUAAUACCAAACAACGAAAGCCUUGUCAAAUACGUCUCUUUAGGUUCACGGUACAUAAGAAGGGUCAAACUACCACCAGGGCCAUAAAACUACUCCUGGAAAUGCCUAAAACUCCUACGAAAGCCUUGUCAAAUAUGUCUCUUUAGGUUCACGGUACAUAAGAAGGGUCACACUACCACCAGGGCCAUAAAACUACUCCUGGAAAUGCCUAAAACUCCUACGAAAGCCUUGUCAAAUAUGUUUCUUUAGGUUCACGGUACAUAAGAAGGGUCACACUACCACCAGGGCCAUAAAACUACUCCUGGAAAUGCCUAAAACUCCUACGAAAGCCUUGUCAAAUAUGUUUCUUUAGGUUCACGGUACAUAAGAAGGGUCACACUACCACCAGGGCCAUAAAACUACUCCUGGAAAUGCCUAAAACUCCUACGAAAGCCUUGUCAAAUAUGUUUCUUUAGGUUCACGGUACAUAAGAAGGGUCACACUACCACCAGGGCCAUAAAACUACCCCUGGAAAUGCUUAAAACUCCUACGAAAGCCUUGUCAAAUAUGUUUCUUUAGGUUCACGGUACAUAAGAAGGGUCACACUACCACCAGGGCCAUAAAACUACCCCUGGAAAUGCCUAAAACUCCUACGAAAGCCUUGUCAAAUAUGUUUCUUUAGGCUCACGGUACACAAGAAGGGUCACACUACCACCAGGGCCAUAAAACUACUCCUGGAAAUGCCUUAAACUCCUACGAAAGCCUUGUCAAAUAUGUUUCUUUAGGUUCACGGUACAUAAGAAGGGUCACACUACCACCAGGGCCAUAAAACUACUCCUGGAAAUGCCUAAAACUCCUACGAAAGCCUUGUUAAAUAUGUGAACUUGGGCGAUGGAAUGUUUAGCGAUACAGCUCAUAGCGAUAAUGAUAAUAAUAAUAAAUGUUGAUAAUACCUUGAUUAGAAUGUCCUGACGAUGAAAGGCAGGCAUAAGGAAUACAUACAUUGGUAAGUACAACAAUCCACCAAUCUUUAGUAUAACACUUUAGACACAAAACAACAACUGAAAAACACGAUAAUGAAAAAUUGAUGAAUCUUAUAUAUCAAUUCUCGUCUCCCUCGCCACGCUGGAAAAUAAGUCACACCAACCGCACGAAAAAAACUCCCUUAUUACUAUUAUCAUUAUUAUUAUUAUUAUUAUUAUUAUUAUUAUUAUUAUUAUUAUUAUUAUUAUUAUCUAUCAUAUUCCAGGUGACUCAUUUUUCAGGUGUAUCUCAUGCAAUCAAUUAAUUAACUAUACCUUGCCCCUGCCCACACCUGUGUUAGCCCGGCCAGGUGUGUGUGUGUGUGUGUGUGUGUGUCUACGGCUAGGGGCUACACAUCUACACUCUAAAUAACACACAGACAGACAGACUAAGAGAUAAAUCUACAAACUAUAGGCCUAGUAAACCAAUCUCUCUCUCUCUCUCUCUCUCACCUGGCAACCAUAGACACACAGGUAAGAAUGUUUAUUGGUUAGUGUUUUAAUGAGGGUAAAGUGCGCGGUGUUGGUGGAAGGCGUGUGUGAAGUGGGAAGUUAAGAAGGAUGGGAGAAGAGAGAGAGAGAGAGAGAGAGAGAGAGAGAGAGAGAGAGAGAGAGAGAGAGAGAGAGAGAGAGAGAGAGAGAGAGAGAGAG